GUGAGGGGAAUAUAACAGACGUUGCUGGUUAUUCUGUCUCUGCGGGUGCCUUAUUUAGUAAUGGAUUCUACAUACUGUUUAAGGAUUCUUUUUGCCUUGUUUCCUGCUUAUGUACCCUGUUUGGGGAAUUAUGAAGGGAGCAUGCCAACCGCUAUUUUGCGGGAAGUUUCAGCACACACUUUCUCCGUGGUUGGCCCUGAGGUGAAAC